UACGGAGGGGGCUAGCGUUGUUCGGAAUUACCGGGCGUAAAGGGCUCGUAGGUGGCCAACUAAGUCAGACGUGAAAUCCCUCGGCUUAACCGGGGAACUGCGUCUGAUACUGGAUGGCUUGAGUUUGGGAGAGGGACGCGGAAUUCCAGGUGUAGCGGUGAAAUGCGUAGAUAUCUGGAGGAACACCGGUGGCGAAGGCGGCGUCCUGGACCAACACUGACACUGAUGAGCGAAAGCCAGGGGAGCAAACGGG
rnacentral:rRNA from 1 species